UUAGACCGUCGUGAGACAGGUUAGUUUUACCCUACUGAUGAGAAUCGUUGACGCGACAGUAAUGCAGGUUAGUACGAGAGGAACCCCUGUUUCAGACAAUUGGUAAAUGCGGUUGCUUGAAAAAGCAAUGCCGCGAAGCUACCAUCUGUUGGUUUAGGGCUGAACGCCUCUAAGUCCGAAACCAUGCUGGAAAGCGUCGAUAUUCACCUCUCCCAAUGUUAUACGAGUAAAGAUACUCUUGUACCAUAUAAUUGCGACGCAUUGGAAGUUAAAUUCCAAGAGAUGCUGAAUCACAAUUUCAAAUAUCGGGAGGGAUAAAUCCUUUGUAGACGACUUAACUUUUAGACGGAGUAUUGUAAGCAUGAGAGUAG
rnacentral:rRNA from 1 species